GACAAACGCUGGCGGCGUGCCUAAUACAUGCAAGUAGAACGCACAGUUUAUACCGUAGCUUGCUACACCAUAAACUGUGAGUUGCGAACGGGUGAGUAACGCGUAGGUAACCUGCCUGGUAGCGGGGGAUAACUAUUGGAAACGAUAGCUAAUACCGCAUAAUAUUAAUUAUUGCAUGAUAAUUGAUUGAAAGAUGCAAUUGCAUCACUACCAGAUGGACCUGCGUUGUAUUAGCUAGUAGGUGAGGUAACGGCUCACCUAGGCGACGAUACAUAGCCGACCUGAGAGGGUGAUCGGCCACACUGGGACUGAGACACGGCCCAGACUCCUACGGGAGGCAGCAGUAGGGAAUCUUCGGCAAUGGACGAAAGUCUGACCGAGCAACGCCGCGUGAGUGAAGAAGGUUUUCGGAUCGUAAAGCUCUGUUGUAAGAGAAGAACGGGUGUGAGAGUGGAAAGUUCACGCUGUGACGGUAUCUUACCAGAAAGGGACGGCUAACUACGUG
rnacentral:rRNA from 1 species